GCUGGGUGUGGUGGCUCACGCCUGUAAUCCCAACACUUUGGGAGGCUGAGGUGGGUGGAUCACCUGAGGUCAGGAGUUCGAGACCAGCCUGGCCAACAUGGUGAAACCCUGUCUCUC
rnacentral:SRP_RNA from 2 species